CCUACGGGAGGCAGCAGUGAGGAAUAUUGGUCAAUGGGCGCGAGCCUGAACCAGCCAAGUAGCGUGAAGGAUGACUGCCCUACGGGUUGUAAACUUCUGUUAUAAAGGAAUAAAGUGAGGCACGUGUGCCUUUUUGUAUGUACUUUAUGAAUAAGGAUCGGCUAACUCCGUGCCAGCAGCCGCGGUAAUACGGAGGAGCCGAGCGUUAUCCGGAUUUAUGGGGGUGAAAGGGAGCGUAGAUGGGUUGGUAAGUCAGUUGUGAAAGUUUGCGGCUCAACCGUAAAAUUGCAAUUGAUACUGGCAGUCUUUAUUACAGUUGAGGUCGUCGGAAUUCGUGGUGUAGCGGUUACAUGCUUAGAUCUCACG
rnacentral:rRNA from 1 species